GUCUCACCGUGAGAAAUGUGACAUUUCAGUCUAAGUGGUUUCAGCAAAGGACCUGGACAGGGAGAAAAGUAUUCCUUUCUUUUCUCCUGUGACAUCUCACUUCUGAGGUGUAACUAAGCGGAUGUAGAACUCUGUGGCAGAGGCUCACUGCUUGCUGGACAGACGGACUGGAACUGAUAUCCCUGGUGUGCCGGUAGGCACAGUCAUAUCCUUCAAGGUUUCUUGUCUGUUGUAGUUUCACAGUCACUUGCUCUAAGGUGGGGAUGGAAGAGAGAAAGUGACUCCCAAAGGCAUUAUCAUCUGCUGCUCUCAGAAUCAAACAGGUUGUUAGCUGAGCCCUGAUGUCCUGUGCAGAGCUGGACCAAGGGCUGACUUAAAGCCACUCAACUCUUUGCCUGCACUUGACUCCAACUACUUAUAUUUUAGAUAUACUACGUUGUCUUGUUUUUUGAUAUUUCUGGAGAAAUUGCUCAGAGCACAGGCUCUGAAGGCACGGACUCAGACUUUAACUUUUCUGUGUAGCUGCUGUGUGACAGGAGCCAAGUGCUGAGACUUCCCCACACUGCUCAUCUGAAAAACGAGAACAGUCGUGUCAGUCGGUCUCAUUGGGGUGAGGUUUCAACAGGAUUAUGUAUGGAGAUGGUUCUGAUACAUACACACAGAUAUUUAAUAAGUGGAGGUUCUGUAGAGCUCUGUAGUCUUAGCCCUGUAGGUACUCACAGGAAGAAUGAGAGCGAAGUUAAGGGGGGAGGGAGAGUAGGGGAGUAUGUAUGGGGUGUGACUGACCUCCUGGGAUUAGAACCCCAACUUACAGUUUACACUGACAGAGAAAGAGAAGCCACCUCUCAUGUGUUAUCCAUAGCAUCAGGACUCAUCUUGUGUGAGACAGACUCCUUCCUUGCCUCAUAUGUUGUUCCAAGCCACUUACACCAAACACGCUCCCUGGUGUAUUUGGAGGUGAAAAGAAGAAAAUGAUAGUUGGGUAAUGACAAUCCUAUAUGUUUGUAAUCUUUCCAAGCUUAUUUUCAAGUAGCACACACUUUUUGUACCACUGGUCCUUAGAGUGAAAAGAACUGUCUACUUUUCUUUAAGGCAUCUUUAACUUGUCCUAAAUUGUAAAUGGGACUCACUGGCCUGAGUCUCUUAGUUUCGGGACAUAGUUCCAUGGCAGGCAUGUUCUUUAGGCUUUGGAACAUUCAUCUGUGAGAAGGAAUCACUGUCAUAUAGUUUACUGUAUUUCAUUUGAAGAGUUACUAAGUCUUCUUAUUUCCUUGCCAUUCUUUCAGCUGGCUCCCCAAAUAUGUCGUUGAUCUAAUCCCAUGACCUAUGUCAUCCCCGUCAUCUUUUUCAUCAUCUUCCUCCUAUUCUUCCUCCUCCUUCCUCUUCUCUCUUCUCCCUUUUUCCUUUUCCUUGCAUGUUUAGGUAGGUGUAUAGAUACUAAGAAAUAUAAAAGAAAACUCGAAAGCAUCCUUCUUCAUUUAUUUUAAGUAUUCCAGAGAAGCUGGGCUCAAAGACUAACGUUCUAACCGGGGCCCUGAUGUGUGUGAUUGCAUGCACCUAGCAUGUUCCCUCACAGUUGGCCUCUGAGAUCCUGACAGGAACUCAUUCACACUUGAGGCUUGCAUAUUCAUUAGGGCUGCAUUCCCCGCCCCCGCCCCCCACCCCCACCCCCCCAGUUUAGAAUUGGACGUAGCCAGAAGUGCUACCCUUGUCUGUAAUCACAGGAUUUGGGAAGUUGAGGCAGGAAGAUUUGCUUGAGUAACAGGCCAUCCUGAGUUCCAUAGCCUCUCCAAAAACAAAAACAGGACCAGCAGGAAGGCUUAGUGAGUAAAUGCACAGGCUGCCAAACCUCACCUGGUUUGUGCUCUGGGACCCACAUGGUAGAAGAAAACCAACUCCAAAGGCGUUUUCUCCAUUUUGCUGCUUGCUCUGCUACCAGUGGCUGGUACUAGGGCCUAGGGAUAGUAGUCUUGGUAACUUUCUCCUUUGAGCUAUUUCUCUAGCAGUUCCCCUCCAUUCAUAGUAAGCACACAUGGGACUAACUCUUUCUAGGUGAUUCUCUCAUGUGUGUGCUCCUCACACACAUUGUGCUUCUUUCAUGUACCACUUAUUUUUCUUCUGCGCUCACUUAAUUCAGUGGAGUCAGGGGAGGUAUGUUUCUCAUCUCUUACCACUGAUGACUUUUUAAUUAGGCCUUCCUAGAGAGUUGCUUUCUCUUUAUCCCCUUCCUUAUGACAGUUUUUUUAUUAGCCUCUAUGGUCAUUUCUCAACUAUAUUUUUUUUUCCUUAAGUUUCUUCUUCUACCUACUUCAAGUCUUACAUCCUGUAUUAGUUGCUCUCCCAGCCUGUUGUUUCAGAGGUUGAUCUCAUCUAUCAUACUCCAGGACCCUCCAUCCUUAAUCCUUGUUCCUUCAUAAGGUUGCCCCCCCCCCAGCUCCUGAAGGAGUACACACGGCGUUUCCCAGUAAAGUGUCCCAAUCCUUGCUUCUAAGUGUCUCAUCUGCUCUCCAGUAGAAAGACGAAUUGGUCCCACCAAAUCAGCAGAUUGCAGGCUCACCCGAUACUGUCCGUUUUUAGACUAGUUAGCUCAAAAAUGUGAUAGGCUGGUGGUGGAAGUAUUCAGGGAAGGUCCUGGUUGCCUCGGUUUAGGACCUGAAGAACAGAGAUGGAGCAGCAGGAAAGGAACAGAUGAGGGACAGUAAAUAGAAGCAUUAAAGGUUAUAUAGAUGCCAGAUCUUUCCAAAGUGAACUAUAAAGUCAAAGAUUUCCAGCAGUUAUACCAACUGAUGUCAUGACGAAGAUAAGCAGAUGAUUCAUGUGGAAUGCAAAGGGUCAAAACUGGCUAGAGGUUGCUGAAGAUGAAGAAAGAUUCAGGGAAUUCGUCUGACAGUACACCAAAUUUUACUGCAGAAAUAGUGUCAGGCGCAGUACAGAAGUGGCUUACAUCAGUGCCACCCAAAACCAAAGACCUUUGCUAAGCAAGUGAGUGAUUUAGGUGAGAAGACUUUUUUUUUUUAAGUAACUAAUAAGGGAUUAGCUACUAGAAUGUAUAGAAAUGUUCUAUUUUGAAAAAUAUAGAAGAGAGAAAGGCUUUCUCUUGAGGCUGGUAAACAGAUGCUCUGUGGUGAUGAGAAGUGUGAGAUUCGGGUUCACAUCUAUGACAUUUGCAAGAACGUGGCCCACAAUGUCAGAUCUGUAAGUAGUCACAUGCUACAUAUCAGUGCUGGAGAACAGUUACACUUCACAGAUGUGAACAAGGCCAGAACUCCAGGCAUGUUCAGCCAUGUCUUACAUUUUGGUCAUGGCAAUAUAAUCAGGCUAGUAACAGGAAUAACUAAAGUUCUGUCCAUGGGAAAGUGGUUUUAUAAGAUAUCAUGAUGCAGUAAAAUUGAGUGAACUACAGCUACACUUGGCAAUAAAGGUGAAUCACAGGAAAUAGGGGCAAAGCAAGUCUCUUGAGUCUACUCAAUGGCAUGAUGCUGUUUUCAUUGAGCUCAAAAGUGAAUGAGAUCAAAGAAUGUAUAUGAUAGUUACAUGUGUGAUAAAAACUUAAAAGGUCACAGAAAUCCCCAAAUUAAGUUUAGUGAUAGAUAGCCUUGUGGGGUGGGGGAUUAAAAGGGGCCAGAGAAGAGUACACAAGUGAAUUGUGAAUAGCUGCUUUAGUUUUUAGGUGGGAGGGUUAUGGCUGUUGACUACAUACAGCAUUUUUGUACAUUUUAAAUAUGAGUAUUUAAUAUAUUUUAACCAAUAAAGAAAAAGUGAAAUGCUAUUC